CAUCGGAAGCAGUAAUAGUUCUGGAGACUGUAGUCGCAUUAUCUUACAUACGUAUGAUGCGUGAGUGUGUCAUAUAUACGUACGUUUGUGCUUGUGCUGUCGAGCGCUUUUAAUUGUAUACAACAUUUUUAUAUGAGUAGCUGGUGAUUCAAGAUCUAUUUUUUGACCUAUAUAAGAGAGAGAUUUGCAGAAGAAAAGAAAUAUACCAAAGUAUUAAUAAGGAUCAAACAUAUUCUUGAUGUAUGUACUCGGGUCGCGAGGCUGAGCAAUAUUCUAAGGAAAGUAUUAUACAAUUGAAUCGUUUUAUAUUGUGCGCAACGCUCAUCGCGACAGCCAUGAUGUACAUGAUUAUCUUACAUACGAUGCGUGAGUACGUAUACACGUGUGUCAAUCGAGGAGUGCAGAGUGCUCUUUAUUUACAGCAUAUUUAUAUAUAAUAGCUGGUGAUGUAGGAUUUAUUUUCCAAUUUACAAGAGAAAUUUACAAAAAAGAGGAAAUAUCAAUUAAUUUUUUUACGUUCUAUAAU